rnacentral:lncRNA from 1 species
UCCUCUGCAUGAACUCUCACUUUUUUUUUGGAAAUGGAGGUAUACCCCCGGCCUCUGCAUCAUGAUGAUGCAUGCGGCCCUUUUAUUAAAAAUCCAGGAAGUAUCAUCAAAAAUGUCUUACAGCUCGCAAACGGAGCAAAACAUAGCACAAAACUGAAAAACACGUGGAUAGAGACAACUGAUACGGUAAUAAUAAGGACAAGCUCCCUAGACUCCUAUCCUGUUAUGUGAACGCCAUCCGAACCGGUUGAAUAUAACCCGAGCCACCAUCUCCCAUUGGUUGCACCCAGUAACCAAAGGCUCCCUGGAGUCCAUAGGAGUGAGUAAGGACCACGUACGGAUCCAAGCUGUAGCUCUGAAGAUAACCUGCAAAAAAGUUAAGUUGUGUUGUCUGUUAAAAAUCAUGUCGUUUCUGCAGUUCCAUAUAGCCCAUAGUAGCGCACAUAUUCCAAUCCGAAUACGAGCUGCCGUGAUCUGUUCAACCCCAGCUAACCACGUCCCAAACAAAGACACAAUAUCUACUGGAUGGUUAAUAUUAAAAGCUAUAUGAAUCGUUCUCCAAAGUAACUUAGCAAGUGGGCAUUCAAUGAAUAAAUGUUGUAUUGUCUCAUCCUGAGCACAAAAACAACACCUCGAGUUACCUACCCAUCGCCUCAUGAACUCUCACUUGACAUUGACAUCUCUUCUCCUCUGUAUUAGUAAUCUGCAAGAGCACAGAUUGGCACAUAUCACAUCAACAACUCUUAGUACAUUCUGAUUUACUUAUUUCUAUGUAAUAUUGACAUCCACCAAGAUAGACAGACCAACCCCCACACGACAUUGACAACUCUUCUCCUCUGUACAAUGCAAAUACUACCGAUAAUCGAAGAAGACAACCUAUCCAAAUCAGACGUUGUUGGGGUAAGAUGAGCUCUGAAAUUCUGCUAUUCGAUGGCAUGUGGUGCAAGGUCAACGAUGCAUUCACAGCUACUGGACAAUAAUAGCCAGGACUUAGUUUCCAAAUCAGAGAUGUAUAGAUUAGAGCAGAAUCAACCAUUCAAAUUUCUCAACAUGUGGAUGUUCAUACCGAACUAUCCCAAGUGGAAUGCGAUCUACUGUCAAGUCAAAAAGCCAUGAUUUAGAUAAUAAAUUGUUGUUCUCAUUCCAAGGUCUACUCCCCAAAUUUCUUUUUAGGACUAUGUAAAUUGAAGAUCAGUCAGUUUGGAACAUGCCAAACUGUAGAUCACCACAUAUUAUUGUCCUACUAUAUGAUAAUUGAAAUUUCCUUCAUACAAGUAUUGUUCCAUCGAUUCAGGAAGAACAUGGCGCACACAGAUUACCAUAGUUUCAUGUGUGCAUCUCAACAGCAGUUAAACCAACCAGGGAUUGUACAGCUAGCAGUAGGGAAUUACCUCGACGCCAUACCUAAUUGAGAUGCCAAGUGAGCUUGCUCAUCCUGUACGCCUCGCAUUCGUGCGCCGCUGCCUCCUCCCACCUUCAGGUUCGCCAGACUCGCCACGAGCUCCUCCAGCUUCGUCCCCAUGUGGGAAGGCGCGUUGCUGACUUGUCCGCUCGCGCACCGCCCUCUUCCUAUCCGCCGGCCUCGCCGCCAGCUCCCCCGACCCAUCUCCAUGGAGGAAGAUGCGGGCUGCUGCCUCAUCCGCCCGCGCACCGCCGUUCGCCGUGGACG